CAUAGGACUUUUGACUCAGGAGCUCAGACAGGUAUCAGAAUUGCACCUCUCUUUAGAAGCAUCCAGUUCAGAUGUCUUUGAAGGUCUCGUUCUGAGCCGUACAGACAGUCGCGCCUCACAAGGAUCCAUUAUUGCGGAUUAGGACUUGUAAGAAUGUGAGGAUAGGUAGAGGAUUCUGACAGCAGGAUUCACAGGCAUCCUUUUUUGCAGUUCUUUGAAGAAAUCAUUCCCUUAGCAUCUUCUUCCUCCAGGGUUCUCUGAGCCUCAUGGGCUCACCAUCGGUCUCACCUCAUUCACUUCAUUUUGCCUUCAUUUUGCAGUCAUUCUUCUUGCCUUCAUUUUGCAGUCAUUCUUCUUGCCAAGUGAUUUCUGUUCCUGUUGUGUCCCCUUUGUUUGUCUUGUCCUGUCCUGUGUCACGGGUGGGUGCACAUAUUUGUCCCGGAGCUGCUCUGCCCUGCCGCAUAGCCCGGCGCGAUAGGACAAAUCCCGGGGACUUGAAAUUUGUAGUGCGGGGUGUAGUUGGAUUCUAGAUGGGAUUUGUAGAUGGACACAAGAUGUUUGGAGGUGUGAAGUUAUUCUGCAGCCCAUUGACUUGUGUCCUGAAUUUCUUUCAGAUGCAGAUGGAUAAAAUCCAUGGCAGAGCACCCCAUCCCAGGAAGUAAAGCCAUCUAGCAGCAGACAAGGCGAAGUGGGCAAGGCAAUCCAUUUGGAGUAUACGUGACUCUGUCACGCACUGGCUGAUGGACUGUGACCGUUGCUCUUUGGAGUCCUGUGGAAGUAUUACAGGACUCGGUGAUGAAGCCUCUGCCUUUUCGAUUUAAAGGAGUCAUCCGGG